UUAUUUAUGUGUCCUUGGGUAAUUUUUGUAUCGCAUUCUUAUUUAAUUUCCUUUCAUUACAGGUUAGCGGAAAAUUCGUUGAAGAUACAGAACAGAGGAGAAAUAUGCAAUUUAAGGACAUGUUUUGCAGGAUGUUGGUGUGGCAUCUGCGCCACGCAAUUGCUCUUUAUUUAUGCAAUGGCGUCAGGAGAUGGAGACGGCAUCAUAAAAUUGUCGGUUUUUUGUAUCUAUAAUCGCAAAAGUUAGCGAUUUUGUUUUGCUAUAGUGAGGCCCGUCUCCUGAUUUACGUGCGCAUCAUCGGCAGGAUGAGGGCGAAUUUUUGUAUCUGCUGGAUUGCCUGUCAGGUUGUCGGGAAGUCAUUGAGAAAACGGUAUUGCGGAGAUUUAUACAAUUUGGAGACGGAUUUUAAUUCAUUUUAAUAUGAAGUUAGUUCCGGGAUAGUGAUCCUUGUGAGUGCAGUGGCAUCAGGAGAUGGAGACGGCGUUGUAAGGUUGUCAGUUUUUUGUGUUUAUAAUCGCGAAAGGUGGCGAUUUUGUUUUUCUUUUGCGGAGCCGGUCUUCUCUUGAUGGUUGUGUUGGAUCACCAGUUGGCUCUGGUUAUUGAGGUUUUAGCGUCAACUAAUGUAGGCGCUCGUCGAUCUGGAAGAUUAUCAGAGUAGCAGGAAGGAUAGAUUUUGCUGCUCCGCGCAAGGUGCCCUGAUCGGAGCAUAGGCAGCUUAUAUGGCCCGUCAAUUGCAGCGCAGCACUGCAAGUAGAUUGUAUCGGUGAUAAGGGAUACUACCAGGGACUGUGUGGCGAAGAAAGUUCAGGUAAGUGA